CCGACCCGGCCAGCACGGGCGGUCCCGGGGCGCGCGCCCCGGACCGUGAGGGAGGUGCGGCUGAGGAAAGGAAGGAGGAGAGCAGACAAGUGCAGGUACAGAUCUUGUGGGAUGGGCAAUGCAGAGUGAAGCAUCGGAUGCGUUUCUCAGCAGUCUCAGCACAACAGAGUCCAGGCUGCACACCUAGGCUUUGGAUCAGAGCCUGAAUUUCCAGAGAGCCAGAAGUGGGAUCCCUACUGCACUCUUCAUUUUAAUGGUGUCUGCACUGUAAGAUGAGCAUGAGAUCUCUGUGCUCUGCAGA